GGCGCUGCCUAAUAAUGCAAGUCGAGCGGACAGAAGGGAGCUUGCUCCCGGAUGUUAGCGGCGGACGGGUGAGUAACACGUGGGUAACCUGCCUGUAAGACUGGGAUAACUCCGGGAAACCGGAGCUAAUACCGGAUAGUUCCUUGAACCGCAUGGUUCAAGGAUGAAAGACGGUUUCGGCUGUCACUUACAGAUGGACCCGCGGCGCAUUAGCUAGUUGGUGGGGUAAUGGCUCACCAAGGCAACGAUGCGUAGCCGACCUGAGAGGGUGAUCGGCCACACUGGGACUGAGACACGGCCCAGACUCCUACGGGAGGCAGCAGUAGGGAAUCUUCCGCAAUGGACGAAAGUCUGACGGAGCAACGCCGCGUGAGUGAUGAAGGUUUUCGGAUCGUAAAGCUCUGUUGUUAGGGAAGAACAAGUGCGAGAGUAACUGCUCGCACCUUGACGGUACCUAACCAGAAAGCCACGGCUAACUACGUGCCAGCAGCCGCGGUAAUACGUAGGUGGCAAGCGUUGUCCGGAAUUAUUGGGCGUAAAGGGCUCGCAGGCGGUUUCUUAAGUCUGAUGUGAAAGCCCCCGGCUCAACCGCGGAGGGUCAUUGGAAACUGGGGAAGUUGAGUGCGCAAGAGGGGAGAGGGUAUCCCGUGUAGCCGGGAAAGGGUGGAGGGGUGGGGGAGACAG
rnacentral:rRNA from 1 species